GACUACAGGGGUAUCUAAUCCUGUUUGCUCCCCACGCUUUCGCACCUCAGCGUCAAUACCGUGCCAGGUGGCCGCCUUCGCCACUGGUGUUCCAUCCAAUAUCUACGAAUUUCACCUCUACACUGGAUAUUCCACCACCCUCUCACGGAUUCAAGCCUUGCAGUAUCAAAGGCAAUUCCGAGGUUGAGCCCCGGGAUUUCACCCCUGACUGACAAAGCCGCCUACGCGCGCUUUACGCCCAGUAAUUCCGAACAACGCUAGCCCCCUUCGUAUUACCGCGGCUGCUGGCACGAAGUUAGCCGGGGCUUCUUCUGACGGUACCGUCAUCAUCUUCCCGUCUGAAAGAGCUUUACAACCCGAAGGCCUUCUUCACUCACGCGGCAUGGCUGGAUCAGGCUUGCGCCCAUUGUCCAAUAUUCCCCACUGCAGCCCCCCGUAGG
rnacentral:rRNA from 1 species